ensembl:lncRNA
GAUGCUGUCCAGAAGUCAGAACAAGCAGGUCCCAGUUUGAUGCUAACGACGCUGAGAUGUGGGUUGAAUUCUGGUGAGAAUCUGAGGUUCUCUCAGUUCCUUGGAGACUCGACGCGUCACCACCACUGCCUUUGGGCUUGGCCGUGGUGAUGGAUAAGGCAUCCCAGGUGGCUCAGUGGUAAAGAACCCGCCUGCCAAUGCAGGAGACACAGGAGAGGCGGGUUCCAUCCCUGGGUCGGGAGAUAAUGGCAACCCACUCCCGUAUUCUUGCCUGGAGAAUCCCAUGGACAGAGGAGCCUGGCGGGCUUCUCUCUGCGGGGCACCAUAGAGUCGGACUCAGCUGCACGCACAUGCACAGCUGGUGAUGGAUACACCACAUGCUACCCAGGAUGCAGGAAGGGCACCCGUCCUUUAGAAGAGGGAAGCAGUCUGUUUGAGCUUGGAUCUGAAACCAUCCGUGGGGCGGUUGGACGCACGCGUCCACACGUGGCUUUCCAGAGUGGCGUCUUCGCCGCGCGCAGAAAUCCUGUUCCCGGAGCCCUUCGCCGCGUUCCGCCAGGCCUCCCCCACCCCCACUGCGCCCACCCCCGCUGAUGGGCCUGUUUCCGUGAACGCCGCAGACGACAAACGUGCGGUUUUGAAAGUGUCUCUUUCACGGUCACACAUUUCUUUUCAUUGUGCGUCUUGGCUGAGCCACGCUUCCAGUUCCUAGGGACCCUCCUGGGCUCCGCUUGCAGAGCAUCUCUGCACUUCCACAGCCCCUCCCCCGAGAGCCAGCGGCCGCUGGACCCUGGAUUGUGUAGUGGUCUCUGAAAGCACUCUCAAUAAAAGCUCCGGG